CCAACACGUGGUCGGGUUCAUCAUGCAUGUAUGAACAAUGAUGGGCUUUUGUGAUGCAUGUAUGCAGUAGUAGCAAUGUGUGUUGCAUGUUUAUGAACUCGUACGUUUCAUCAACUUUGUCAUAUGUAAUGUAAUUCAUCAUGUUUGUUCUAUGUCGAGAGACUCCUGUAAUUCCUAGAUUGUGGAAUGUAACCUAAGUUGUAGUAAGACAUUGUAAUAAUUCCAUACCGU
rnacentral:lncRNA from 1 species